rnacentral:rRNA from 1 species
AGAGUUUGAUCAUGGCUCAGAUUGAACGCUGGCGGCAGGCCUAACACAUGCAAGUCGAACGGUAACAGGAAGAAGCUUGCUUCUUUGCUGACGAGUGGCGGACGGGUGAGUAAUGUCUGGGAAACUGCCUGAUGGAGGGGGAUAACUACUGGAAACGGUAGCUAAUACCGCAUAACGUCGCAAGACCAAAGAGGGGGACCUUCGGGCCUCUUGCCAUCGGAUGUGCCCAGAUGGGAUUAGCUAGUAGGUGGGGUAACGGCUCACCUAGGCGACGAUCCCUAGCUGGUCUGAGAGGAUGACCAGCCACACUGGAACUGAGACACGGUCCAGACUCCUACGGGAGGCAGCAGUGGGGAGUAUUGCACAAUGGGCGCAAGCCUGAUGCAGCCAUGCCGCGUGUAUGAAGAAGGCCUUCGGGUUGUAAAGUACUUUCAGCGGGGAGGAAGGGAGUAAAGUUAAUACCUUUGCUCAUUGACGUUACCCGCAGAAGAAGCACCGGCUAACUCCGUGCCAGCAGCCGCGGUAAUACGGAGGGUGCAAGCGUUAAUCGGAAUUACUGGGCGUAAAGCGCACGCAGGCGGUUUGUUAAGUCAGAUGUGAAAUCCCCGGGCUCAACCUGGGAACUGCAUCUGAUACUGGCAAGCUUGAGUCUCGUAGAGGGGGGUAGAAUUCCAGGUGUAGCGGUGAAAUGCGUAGAGAUCUGGAGGAAUACCGGUGGCGAAGGCGGCCCCCUGGACGAAGACUGACGCUCAGGUGCGAAAGCGUGGGGAGCAAACAGGAUUAGAUACCCUGGUAGUCCACGCCGUAAACGAUGUCGACUUGGAGGUUGUGCCCUUGAGGCGUGGCUUCCGGAGCUAACGCGUUAAGUCGACCGCCUGGGGAGUACGGCCGCAAGGUUAAAACUCAAAUGAAUUGACGGGGGCCCGCACAAGCGGUGGAGCAUGUGGUUUAAUUCGAUGCAACGCGAAGAACCUUACCUGGUCUUGACAUCCACGGAAGUUUUCAGAGAUGAGAAUGUGCCUUCGGGAACCGUGAGACAGGUGCUGCAUGGCUGUCGUCAGCUCGUGUUGUGAAAUGUUGGGUUAAGUCCCGCAACGAGCGCAACCCUUAUCCUUUGUUGCCAGCGGUCCGGCCGGGAACUCAAAGGAGACUGCCAGUGAUAAACUGGAGGAAGGUGGGGAUGACGUCAAGUCAUCAUGGCCCUUACGACCAGGGCUACACACGUGCUACAAUGGCGCAUACAAAGAGAAGCGACCUCGCGAGAGCAAGCGGACCUCAUAAAGUGCGUCGUAGUCCGGAUUGGAGUCUGCAACUCGACUCCAUGAAGUCGGAAUCGCUAGUAAUCGUGGAUCAGAAUGCCACGGUGAAUACGUUCCCGGGCCUUGUACACACCGCCCGUCACACCAUGGGAGUGGGUUGCAAAAGAAGUAGGUAGCUUAACCUUCGGGAGGGCGCUUACCACUUUGUGAUUCAUGACUGGGGUGAAGUCGUAACAAGGUAACCGUAGGGGAACCUGCGGUUGGAUCACCU